rnacentral:lncRNA from 1 species
GAGGACUCAAUGCCAGAGGAGAUGGAGCUGGAGACUUCAACUUAGGCUUGCUGGGAGCUGGAGCCGGAACAAGAGCUGGUGGAGCUGCCAAUGGAGCUGGUGGAGGAACAGCGGGAGGAGGGGUUGCUGGUGGAGGAGUAGCAGGUGGUGGGGUUGCUGGUGGAGGUGUUGCUGGUGGAGGGGUGGCGGGAGGAGGAGUUGCUGGUGGUGGGGUUGCGGGAGGAGGGGUGGCAGGUGGAGGGGUGGCAGGUGGCGGGGCUGAAACUGGAGGAGGGGUAGCUGGAGGUGGAGAUUGGGUAACGGGAGGUGGGGCUGAAACUGGUGGAGGAGUGGUUGCUGGUGGUGGGGAAGAAAUUGGUGUGGGUGGUGCUGGUGUUGCUGUUGGUGACGUUGCUG